AUGGAUGUUUGCAGAAUCGGAGCCAGGCCAUGAGCUUCCAAUAUACUCUCAUUUUGACUUCGAAAUCAAGGCUCUUUGUCCUCGGUUCUUGAGGAUUUUCUUAUUAAUUACCAUUUGCAUGUUUUGAAAGUGAACUCUACAGGAGGAAGAAAAUGGAGUUCCCUUGGCUACUCCCAUACUCUUCACUGGGCUGAGUCUGAGAAGAGCAAAACCAGAUAAAGGACGACCAUGCAACAAUGUGAAUCUCCAUUAUGAAACAGAUGGUCUGUCGACCUAAGGCCUCAUUUCCACUGUCUUACACUACGGUGUUGCUGCAGGACAUUUAUCUUGACUGUUACGUUUGUGGAUUGUCAAGAUGAAAGGGGGAAAAUGAUUCCAUGCAGACUUUGAAAUAAAUUGCCCUAAGACAAAUGGUAAAUGCACACUAUAGGCUGAGGACAAGACUGGGAAUUUGGAAGAUACUGGUUUUACUCUGCAGUUUGCCACUGCCUGCCUGCAAGCUCUUUCCUUUGGCCAAAUCCUUUCAGGUUUGUGCCAUUUAUAAAAUGGGGACAGUGAUAUCACCCUUAUGAAGCACUUUGAGAUCCUUAAAUGAAAGGUGCUAAAGAAAUGCAAUAUAUUAUUCAUUAAAAAACACACAUGCACA